UACAGAGGUCCCGAGCGUUGUUCGGAUUCAUUGGGCGUAAAGGGUGCGUAGGCGGUCUUCUAAGUUUGAUGUGAAAUCCCGGGGCUCAACCCUGGCAUGGCAUUGAAUACUGGAGGACUAGAGUACCGGAGAGGAAACUGGAAUUUACGGUGUAGCAGUGAAAUGCGUAGAGAUCGUAAGGAAGACCAGUGGCGAAGGCGGUCUGCUGGGCAGUUUCUGACACUGAGGCGCGACAGCGUGGGGAGCAAACAGG
rnacentral:rRNA from 1 species